CAGUCGAGGGGCAUCAGGAAGAAAGCUUGCUUUCUUUGCCGGCGACCGGCGCACGGGUGAGUAACACGUAUCCAACCUGCCCUUUACUCGGGGAUAGCCUUUCGAAAGAAAGAUUAAUACCCGAUGGGAUAAUUAUUCCGCAUGGUUUGAUUAUUAAAGGAUUCCGGUAAAGGAUGGGGAUGCGUUCCAUUAGGUUGUUGGUGAGGUAACGGCUCACCAAGCCUUCGAUGGAUAGGGGUUCUGAGAGGAAGGUCCCCCACAUUGGAACUGAGACACGGUCCAAACUCCUACGGGAGGCAGCAGUGAGGAAUAUUGGUCAAUGGGCGCUAGCCUGAACCAGCCAAGUAGCGUGAAGGAUGAAGGCUCUAUGGGUCGUAAACUUCUUUUAUAUAAGAAUAAAGUGCAGUAUGUAUACUGUUUUGUAUGUAUUAUAUGAAUAAGGAUCGGCUAACUCCGUGCCAGCAGCCGCGGUAAUACGGAGGAUCCGAGCGUUAUCCGGAUUUAUUGGGUUUAAAGGGAGCGUAGGUGGACUGGUAAGUCAGUUGUGAAAGUUUGCGGCUCAACCGUAAAAUUGCAGUUGAUACUGUCAGUCUUGAGUACAGUAGAGGUGGGCGGAAUUCGUGGUGUAGCGGUGAAAUGCUUAGAUAUCACGAAGAACUCCGAUUGCGAAGGCAGCUCACUGGACUGCAAUUGACACUGAUGCUCGAAAGUGUGGGUAUCAAACA
rnacentral:rRNA from 1 species